AUUGAACGCUGGCGGCAUGCCUUACACAUGCAAGUCGAACGGCAGCACGGGAGCAAUCCUGGUGGCGAGUAGCGAACGGGUGAGUAAUACAUCGGAACGUGCCCGAUCGUGGGGGAUAACGAAGCGAAAGCUUUGCUAAUACCGCAUACGAUCUACGGAUGAAAGCAGGGGACCGCAAGGCCUUGCGCGAACGGAGCGGCCGAUGGCAGAUUAGGUAGUUGGUGGGAUGAAAGCUUACCAAGCCGACGAUCUGUAGCUGGUCUGAGAGGACGACCAGCCACACUGGGACUGAGACACGGCCCAGACUCCUACGGGAGGCAGCAGUGGGGAAUUUUGGACAAUGGGCGAAAGCCUGAUCCAGCCAUGCCGCGUGCAGGAUGAAGGCCUUCGGGUUGUAAACUGCUUUUGUACGGAACGAAAAGACUCUGGUUAAUACCUGGGGUCCAUGACGGUACCGUAAGAAUAAGCACCGGCUAACUACGUGCCAGCCGCCGCAGUAAAAC
rnacentral:rRNA from 1 species